rnacentral:tRNA from 2 species
GGCGGAUGUAGCCAAGUGAUCAAGGCAGU